CGUCUAUAUACGUAUAGCAUAUCAAUAAGCGGAGGAAAAGAAACUAACAAGGAUUCCCCUAGUAACGGCGAAGUGAAGCGGGAAGAGCUCAAAUUUGAAAUCUUAAAGGGUUUCCCUUUACGAAUUGUAGUUUAAAGAAGUGUUUUCUGUUGGAGUUUCGGUAAAAGUUCUUUGGAAUAGGACAUCAUAGAGGGUGAGAAUCCCGUAUUUGACCGUUACUUUCCAGCUGUGUGAUACACUUUCAAAGAGUCGGAUUGUUUGGGAAUGCAGUCCAAAAUGGGUGGUAAAUUUCAUCUAAAGCUAAAUAUUGGCGAGGAGACCGAUAGCGAACAAGUACCGUGAGGGAAAGAUGAAAAGAACUUUGAAAAGAGAGUUAAACAGUACGUGAAAUUGUCAAAAGGGAAGCGUUUGACACCAGUGUUGUUUAGUUGAAAAUCAAUUAAAUAUUUUUCGAUUUUAAGUAGUAUUGACCUUAUCAGCUUGCUGCUUUUUUUUCGGAAAUUAUUUAAUGCACUUUUCAGUUAACAAGUCAACAUCAAUUUCUUUUGUUGUAAAAAGGUAAGAGGAAGGUGGCUUGCGCUUCGGCUCAAGUGUUUAUAGCCUUUUACCCCUGCAAUCGGAGAGAUUGAGGUCUGCAGCGUAGAUCCUUCGGGGUUAGAUACAUUUGUGCUAAGCUAUAGCCUUGUAUAGACAACUUGUUGACUAUGCUCAGUCAUGUAGCUUACUCGCUUAUGCUAUUUUACCUACGCUUAGGAUGUUGAUAGUCACAGCGUGUAC
rnacentral:rRNA from 1 species